rnacentral:pre_miRNA from 1 species
AGCAAAUAUUAGAUUGGUACAAAAGUAAUCGCCGUUUUUGCCAUUAGUGUAAAUUAAGUAAUGGCCAAAAUGGCGAUUACUUUUGCACUGACCUAAUAGCU